GAUGAACGCUGGCGGCGUGCCUAAUACAUGCAAGUCGAGCGAACGGACGAGAAGCUUGCUUUUCUGAUGUUAGCGGCGGACGGGUGAGUAACACGUGGAUAACCUACCUAUAAGACUGGGAUAACUUCGGGAAACCGGAGCUAAUACCGGAUAAUAUUUUGAACCGCAUGGUUCAAAAGUGAAAGACGGUCUUGCUGUCACUUAUAGAUGGAUCCGCGCUGCAUUAGCUAGUUGGUAAGGUAACGGCUUACCAAGGCAACGAUGCAUAGCCGACCUGAGAGGGUGAUCGGCCACACUGGAACUGAGACACGGUCCAGACUCCUACGGGAGGCAGCAGUAGGGAAUCUUCCGCAAUGGGCGAAAGCCUGACGGAGCAACGCCGCGUGAGUGAUGAAGGUCUUCGGAUCGUAAACCUCUGCUAUUAGGGAAGAACAUAUGUGUAAGUAACUGUGCACAUCUUGACGGUACCUAAUCAGAAAGCCACGGCUAACUACGUG
rnacentral:rRNA from 1 species